rnacentral:ncRNA from 1 species
UGCGCAGGGCGUGUUUCAGCACGAUGUUGCGGAAGCUCACGCCCUUGAGCCGCGCGGUGCGGAUGUAUUGCGCGGUCAUGACCUCGGCCAUGGACGCCCGCGUCAUCCGCGCGAUGUAGCCCAUGCCGUAAAGCGCCAUGGUCAGCACCGGCAGGGUGAAGUUUUCCAGCGUGGCGUCC